rnacentral:rRNA from 1 species
UACGGAGGGUGCAAGCGUUGUUCGGAUUUACUGGGCGUAAAGCGCGCGCAGGUGGAUGGACAAGUCGGAAGUGAAAUCUUGAGGCUCAACCUCGAGGCUGCUCCCGAAACUGUUCGUCUAGGGACUGGUAGAGGCUGGUAGAAUUCCCGGUGUAGCGGUGGAAUGCGUAGAGAUCGGGAAGAAUACCUGUGGCGAAGGCGGCCAGCUGGGCCAGGUCGACACUGAGGCGCGAAAGCUAGGGGAGCGAACGGGAGUU